AUAGACUCUGUCUGUGCUACAUGUUUGCCAUAGUUCUCUGUCCCCAUUUGACAUCAUUAGCUAUAUUUGCCUGAACCCAGUGUUGAGAUAUGCAAAGAGCAACAGCUAUUCUGAGGCAAGCUAAGCACUCAGACUUUGUCUAGACCACAAACAAAAUGAUAUCCAGGAAUGAUUUAAAGGCUUCAGUGGAACAGAGUUUUGUUAGACUUUAAGCUUGAAAGGUUCGGGUAUGAAUUGUGGCAGCAGUAAUAAACAGAUCAUUGUCCAGUUGUGGGCAGGAUGGUAUGGAGCUCAGGACAUGGAGCACAUCAGCUGUCCUCCCUGUCGAUAACUUUUCUCACGAUAGUCCAUCCUUUUCAGACCUUCUAGUUGUCCACAACUUCAGAACCUGAAGCCAUAACUUUCCUCUCAACUAAGACCAUCCUAGCCAACACAACACGAAGUCUCUGCCCUGACUGUUUUCUGUCUCGGUCACACUCCACCCAGACAUCGUUUCCAGGGGAAACUUCAGCUCCAAGGAGGCCCUGUCUUGGAUCCAGCUGCACAUUGUGAAGACAGCUUGGAGAGCGAGAGAGAGAAAGAGAGAGAGAGAGAGAGACAUGUCCUCACAACAGACUUAUCCUGGGGAAUGCUGAGAGCUUUCUGCCACAUCCUCCAGUUGAGAGCACGCUACUCUGAAAGGGGGGGGGGGGAGAGGUUGACCUAAAAGAAUGGAAUACUGCUGCUUCCUUUGCACAUGUGUGCACAAUCUUCAGCUCUCCCUUGCAUUCACUCAGUGUAUCUUUGGAGCCUGUCCGGCUUGGAAUUUAUCAGGUGAUCGGCUGAAAAGGAAGGGACAUUUUUAUUUGGCUUGUAUAAAAUAAAAUUUCAAAUUAAAUCAUUUAGAAGCAAGCAAAAAACCUGUAAUGAUCUGCUUUGAAAAUACAAAUCCGUUUGCCUGUCAGAAACGCAUGUUGAUUUCAUUAAACUUCCUAUGGCAACUGCCCUGACAGCCUGGCCAGCCGGCAGUCCUCUCCCCGAUCACACUGGUGCUCAGUGCCCAGGCAGGCAGAGGAACAGGCCAGCAGGAAGGCAGGCACUGACACAGAUUGUUCCAUUUUGCCAGGUAUUUGGUAAUGUUGAUGUUUCAUUCCGGCACAGAACAAAAUGAAAUGUUGACAACCUGGAAUUUCCCACAAAACAGACGUUUCCUUUUCCGGCCAGCUCUAACAUACACACACACGCGCACACACACUUGCAGAAUUAUUAACUGCUAUGUAAUGACACCAGACUAUAUGCCCACUUCCAACGUGUGGUAUGGAGGGAAUCCAGCCCUCAAAAAUCCUGCAUUAAAACAGUCACUGGAGAGCUGUGGAGUUUGGAAAGCUGUUAGGUUGCAUAGCUCUUUCUUCAUGGAGCAAGCUGGAGCUUUCUUUAAUUUAGCUGUGCGAACCAUCGGCACUGGAGGAAGGAGAGCUCGUCUUUUGUCUAGAAGCCCGGGGAGCGACUCAACACAGUAACUUCAUCUGUUACUUACAGAACAAAGUGCGAGAAGGGAAUCACUGUUUGGAUCAGCAGCAACUCCUUCUCCAUUCUCUGAGUCCUUCCCCCCCACCCCAAGAGCAGUUGCAAAGUGCCAAAAGCUAUCAGAAAGUCUGCUUUGCAUCAAGCAAACGCUACUGACCCUCUGAGCUAGCCCACAGGGAAGAACACCAGGAGGGAGAUUGCAGCUGAAGAUAGGACUACUUAAGUGGCAAUUCAUUGUGAACCACUUUUCUAAGCUGUUGAUAGAAGCAUUAAGUGUGAGAGAGGAAGGGGACUUAUCUUUCUGCCCAAGCAGAACCCUAAUGACUCCAUAAUGACUGCUAAAUAAUGUUGUCAAUAAUCUCUAUUUAAUUAUACAGCUCCUGUAUGCCCUAAAAAGGAAAGAAAACACAAAAGUAGUCUGCAGUCCUAACUUUCCCAGAAGUCCCUUAGCCUAGUUCUGUAACAUGUGUGUGCAUAUCUAGGAUUAGUUACUAUGGGGAACAUAAUUCACUUUCCAUCCUUCAUCUCAUCUGAAACAUCUACUCAUGUGAAAUAGAUUUGUCCUACUCUUGAAGCAACCAUCAGCAAAUGCUGUAUCUGCUAUAGCUUGUUAGCAGGCAGGUAAGCUCUUUCCAAGAUAAAAAUACAUGUAUUUUCACAACUCUGCUUUGGAAGGUUCUUCAGAAAGGUUUUAUCUUUGAGCAGAACUGACUACAAAAACAGGGUGUUUAAUGAACACAGCACCACUGUGUGUGAAAGUCUGAGGAAUAUUUUCAGACAGAUGCCUAUUGUAGGAGCUGGUGACUUACACAGUGGCCUUUUUAAAAGCCUAAAAAAUAUGAAUUCCUUCUUUAUCAUUAUUUACUUUUUUACCGAUUCUGAAAGUCUCAGAAUAGGCCCAGCUUUGAAAUAACAGCUUAUUAUUAUACUAUGCAUGCAAUAGGCUAAGGAGGAUAUUUUAUUUAAGCACAAAAAUCUAUUUUUGGCUUAGUAUUCCAAAGCUUUCUUAAUGCUCAAUUUACUAAAAUAUGUCUUCAGGCACAGGCCAGAUUUCGGCCAAUAAAAACACUGGUUUCAUCUGAAAUAUUAAACAAGCUAAUUGAUAAAAAACAUGGCAUAAUAGGUGAACGGUCUGUCAUUUGACUUCUACCACCAGUUCAGGAGAGUUAUUGUUAUUAUAAAUAAUAAAAGUUAGGGAAACAUAAGAAACCAGAUUUCCACUUACUGUGUGGACAGGGAGCCAAAUUCUGAAUUUUUUGAUUAAACUUAUAAUAUGCAAGACUGAAGCAGGAAUGGAGAAUAUCUUCAGAACUGUACUUUGAUGAAAAAAUUUCAACCAUAUGUGUUAAAUAUUUUGCUGCAGUUAAAGCUGAUGAAUUCUGCUAGUGGUUUUUUGCAAAUUUGCAGUGUAUCACCUGCGCUCUCCCUAAUGUGUAUACAGCAGGAGAAGUAGAAGUGAAUGUGUGAAUAUCUACAGAUCAGUGUAUUACUUUAAAUCAGGCAUGAAUUAGAUUAAUAAGAGGGGGAGCGAGUCUAUGAACUGCCUUUUAUCAGCAUCUCAUAGACCUGAUAAUGAGUGUCUCUUCCAAAACAGGGAAGGCAGAUGCCAAAGGCCAGUGCAAAGAGUGAACGGGGGCAGAAGCAAGUCAGAGUCAGUUCAUGACCAACUCGGCCAUAGGCAACCCCUUUUCUUAAGCCAUUUUGAGAGUCUUACCCUGGGCAAAGAGCUGCCUUCUCAUGCCUCCAGGGAGGAGUGCCAGACACUGGGGUUAAUUACAAUAUAAUUACAAUUAUAAUAUAAAGCCACUAGCUUUACGGAGGAAGCAGUAAAAGAAGCACAAUGACAUCUCCUCAUCUCAUUGCCAGUGUCACAGUAAGGACAUAUAGACAAAAAAUUGAGGGAGAGCCAGUCACAGCUAAUGAUAAUCUCAUGCAUCUAGGGAGUCAGCCACUUGGCUUCUCCAAGUGAGGUCCCUUGGAGACACGCAGGCAGGGAGGGGUCCAGAGGCAGGCUCCUUUAUAGCAGUAAGUGGCUCCUUUCCCUGUGAAACAGAGACAGGGAAGAAAAACAAAAGAGAGCACGAGAAGAAGAUGCCAAGAGAAUAAGCUGAGUUCAGUGCAUAAUACAAGUCCCAAAAGGCAGUGGGAAAUGAGGAAAGGCUCUAUAUUCCUCCAGUGGAAAAUAUUAGAGCAUGCACAUGGUCUGAAAUGCCCUUAUUAGUCAGACAGCAGCCAUUUCUCUUUUGCUUGCCUCAUUUUUUUCCAUUAAAAAAUAAAAGAAAAUUGGCCAGUUGAUGUGAUUCAGCUCCUGAACUGGCUUUUCUAGAGGUAACACUUCCUGUCUGAGGUACUGUUUCUGGCAGGAUGGAUUUCCUGGCUGAGAUUUUCAAAGUCACCUAGGGAACCUGUGUAUUCACACACAUACCAUGUAUUUAAGCAGGAAUUGUCAUCUAAAUCCCAUGAGCAGAUGUGAAAUACUCUCUUUCUAUCCUCUCUUUUCACUUACUCAUUCCUUGCUGCAUCUUUUAUCUUCCUGUUUUCUGUUUCGUACUUUCUUCUCACAAUCUUUCUUUCCAUUAAGCUUCCUCACAUUUCACUUCUUAAUGAUUUUUUCUCUCUUAUUUUUUUCCAGUAACUGCCAGCUUUUUCUAUGCCUUUGACUUUCCUUUCUCUCCAGGUGCUGUUUCCCUCUCCACUCUCACACCUUUGUAUCAUCAGCCUGCCCUGUCUGGCCAGUUGCCCCUUAUAUAAGAGCUGAACUAGCUCUUUUUCCAAUGUUACCUUUAAAAUGAGAAUUAAUUGCAAUGCAUCCCUCCCAGCAGUGAGGCUUUGUAGGCCAUCCAAACUCCAUCAUGUGAUAUGCAGAAACACCUUCCACACAGUUCCUUGGGAUCAUGGGGACCAGGGAGAGAAAGACUAAGUGAAGAGAAACAGGUAUAUGUCUCCUUUUCUUAGCUACAAAUAACUACCUAAAUAAUACUCAAAUGGUUCUGAAUGCUGACAUAUGCACCAGGUUUUCUACCAAUGCACCAAAUUUUCCACUGACUUCUCUAAUAUGCUGCAAAGAUAAAGCUGUGCUGAUUUGGCUGGUUCAGACACCUGCCUGACUAUGACUUCCUGUGAGUGCUCUUUAUACCUAAUGCCCUACUUCAUACCUAACGUAUGCAAAUAUCAACAUUUGCAACCAGUCUGAACCACUGAUUUAGAGCUUUCUCUCCUAUUACUAGAUUGUUGGUGUGAUAAAAUGAGACUGUACAACAAUCCCAAGAGUGCAACUGUCUUUAAUGCUGUUCCUACUUUGGAAAACAAGCAUCCUGAUAACAAUCAAAAUAACAUAUCUGAAUGCACUUCACCUUUGUUUUUCAGAAUAAAACCUGUCCUGAUGUCGAUCCAUGCAGUAUGUGAAUAUACACUUAGCCACAUGGGCACAAAAAAGCCACUUAAUUAAGAAAUGUAUAAAGAGUGAUAACUGUAGAUUAAUUUUAAACAUUUCUUUAUGAAAAAUAGAAAAACUUUAUGAGUCUUGCUGCAUAUCUAAGAGAUUUAAUAUUUCAAUUUUAUAUUUUAUACUAAAACUCAAACCAUUACACAUUUUUUUACCUUAAGAUAUUUAGGUCCUUUGAGGUCAGAGCUUCUUUUUGUAGUACUUAGUUACCCAAAGCUGUUAGAGUCUGCCAACUCUAUAGCACAGAAUUUAUAGCACUGGGUCAAAGACAGUUCCUGGAGGUAUUCAGCAGCCCUUUGUAGUAAAUCAGCAGUCAUGUCUUUGAUAAAUGUCUCCUGAGUCCAGCAGUAACUAUUCCUCAGUGCUGAGAGAUAAAACAGUAGUGAAAGACACACAGCAACAAGGAACUAGUAAAUAACUUCUAAGGAAGUUAUGGUUAACCCAGUGCUCGUGAAUACUGAACUUAACAGUUCUUGAAAACAACAUGGAAGCCUAUCUGGGCACUUGAAUUCCAAUGUGCUGCUCACGUAUAAAAGGUGCAGCACCCUGGAGGAUAAUAAGGCAAUCAUUAUAACACAAAUGAGGGAUAUAAAGCUUUUUCAGGUUGAUAAGAACCUCUCUAGACCUUUCUAUUUCAUCUGCAUCAUGAACUUCCACAUUCAGUCUGUUACUUGAUAAUUCUAUUAAAAUGUGGACCUACAAGCAAUGAACACAGGGUUCAUCCAGGCUCCAUGUUAAUACUCUAGGAUCUGGUCCUGCAGCUGCAACUGAUAUAAGCAAUCAUUGCUUACAUGAGCACUGUGCACACAAAGCUCUUUUGGCCUCUCAUCUUCAGAUCUACUCUACCAAUCAGCAGUAUUUAAGUCAGUGGCGAUAUUUUCAUGGCCUUAAGUAGGCCCAUAAAGAGAUGCCAUGGAGUAAAGAGAUACAGAAGGACUACUGGCUGGCUUGGUCAUAGCUGGAGGGUGACCUUUCUAGGUCAGCUUUCACCAAGCCGAAGCACUGCUCCCCUGUGAGAUGUCAUAGCAGCUUGGCAUUUCAACACUCCGAGAGGACAGGCCAUGUUGGAAGUCAUAGCCUUGUUUGCACCCUGUCAAUGCCUCAUCGCUUCAGCCUCAGGGGGUGUGAGAGCUGAUUAAGUCAAACACUUCCAUGCGUAAUCAGGGUUCAGGUACCUUCAGCCCUUGGGCAGGGUAAGGUUUUGAAUAACUGGAGUCCUUUGUCACUGCAUGGUUUCAUAAGUUUCUACCAUCAGAAUAUUAUAGUAGAGGAAGCCAGAGACUAAGGCAAAAAGAAAAUGAAUAGGUUGUACAAUUCUUUUGGCUGAGAUUUAUGGGCCCAUCUCAUCUAGAGUGAAUAGGCAGCAGUUUAAUUCGGCAGCAUGAAAAUUUGUCCACUGCUAGCAAACAAAUCUCUUUACUUUUUCUAUUAAAAAAGUCAGUGUCGUUAAAAACCUGAAUUAACUCCCAUCCAAGCCAUCAGAUAAUCAUCCAGGUACUGGAACGACGCUAGGAAAAAUAUUAUUUCAUAUUCUUUUCUUCUCAACUCAGUAUCUGGCAUCUUUCCACCAGGAGAGAGAAGACUUGGCUCUAAGAGGAAUGGCAUCAGACUGCAGCAAUUCUCUUGCACUGUUUUGAGAUCACUUUUUUAAUUCCUUUUUGUGUGUGUGUGUGAGAGAGAGAGAUUUCAUGUAAUUAUCUCAGGAGCAAAAGCCCAACCAGUCUCAUUCAUUAAAGAUUUUCUUAAAUGCUC